UAGGGAAUCUUCCGCAAUGGGCGAAAGCCUGACGGAGCAACGCCGCGUGAGUGAUGAAGGUCUUCGGAUCGUAAAACUCUGUUAUUAGGGAAGAACAAAUGUGUAAGUAACUAUGCACGUCUUGACGGUACCUAAUCAGAAAGCCACGGCUAACUACGUGCCAGCAGCCGCGGUAAUACGUAGGUGGCAAGCGUUAUCCGGAAUUAUUGGGCGUAAAGCGCGCGUAGGCGGUUUUUUAAGUCUGAUGUGAAAGCCCACGGCUCAACCGUGGAGGGUCAUUGGAAACUGGAAAACUUGAGUGCAGAAGAGGAAAGUGGAAUUCCAUGUGUAGCGGUGACAUGCGCAGAGAUAUGGAGGAACACCAGUGGCGAAGGCGACUUUCUGAUCUGUAACUGACGCUGAUGUGCGAAAGCGUGGGGAUCAAACAGG
rnacentral:rRNA from 1 species